GCUGUUUGUGUCCUUGUAUUCCUCGGCUUCGGGCCCAUUUUCCGGUCUGAUACUUCUCGCCAUCUCGUCUCCUUGGGUGAACGCGAAGGGCGCUGCGUGGGCAAGUAUUCUGGUCUGCGUACUACAGCUGUGGCAUGCGGCGGGAAGAAUGCUGUCGCCAGUCCCUCCACCUCCCGUGAUUCCCGGAACGCUGGAGAGAUGCCCGUCGCGGUCCAAUGACACCGGGGUGCUCGCUGGCUCUCGCAUCCUGGCUGAUGAACCACUGCAACUCUACGUGUUCCCGCUGUACCGGUUGUCGUUCUACUGGAUCACCUUCAUCGGAGCCCUCCUCACGAUCCUUUUAGGAACAGCGCUGAGUCUCGUUA